AAUCUGAAUUUGCUAAUUGCACCACAUGUGUUUUUCUUUGAAACAAACUUGCUUUGGCGGUGGGCCCAGCCUGCCGCCAGAGGUCUAAACUUGCAACCAAUUUUUUAUCAACUUGUCACACCAGAUUAUUACUAAUAGUCAAAACUUUCAACAACGGAUCUCUUGGUUCUCGCAUCGAUGAAGAACGCAGCGAAAUGCGAUACGUAAUAUGAAUUGCAGAUAUUCGUGAAUCAUCGAAUUUUUGAACGCACAUUGCGCCCUCUGGUAUUCCGGAGGGCAUGCCUGUUUGAGCGUCGUUUCUCCCUCAAACCGCUGGGUUUGGUGUUGAGCAAUACGACUUGGGUUUGCUUGAAAGACGGUAGUGGUAAGGCGGGAUCGCUUUGACAAUGGCUUAGGUCUAACCAAAAACAUUGCUUGCGGCGGUAACGUCUACCACGUAUAUCUUCAAACUUUGACCUCAAAUCAGGUAGGACUACCCGCUGAACUUAAGCAUAUCAAUAAGGCGGAGGAA
rnacentral:rRNA from 1 species